rnacentral:rRNA from 1 species
UACGGGGGGGGCAAGCGUUGUUCGGAAUUACUGGGCGUAAAGGGCUCGUAGGUGGCCAACUAAGUCAGACGUGAAAUCCCUCAGCUUAACUGGGGAACUGCGUCUGAUACUGGAUGGCUUGAGUUUGGGAGAGGGAUGCGGAAUUCCCGGUGUAGUGGUGAAAUGCGUAGAUAUCGGGAGGAACACCAGUGGCGAAGGCGACUUCCUGGCCUGUUCUUGACGCUGAGGCGCGAAAGCUAGGGGAGCAAACGGG